AGGUGGCAUAAUAAAAGAAGUUCUCGGUAGUGAAAAAGGGCCAUGCUGGAUAAGGAGCUGGCUGCCUCUGUGAACAUCCUACUCAAGGCAUCUUCACUGCUGUACAUCCUUUUGAAAUCCCAGAGAUCUUCAGUCUCCCUGUGGAUUAAGGAGAUGUGCAGUAUUUAAAGUGGCUUCAGGAAGGCAUGGAAGAGGACUGAGUGGGGAAAGCUUUUUGUGCAUGCUGCUGGCUACCUCCAGCGGCUGCCUCCAGCCUCCAUCAGCUGCACUCUGGGGAAGAGGAGGCUGCCUUCUACCUCCCAGCAUCUCUGGAUUUCAUGUUCCUGUCAGCACAGAGGAGCUAAAUGGCCUGUAGAGGCUGAAGGUCUGAGGCUCCUAAAGCUGGAAGAAAAGGCUGGGCCAGUCAGGCCAAGCAAGAACACAGUGUAACUUGUCUCUGAGUGCUUCAUGGUUAAGGGGGCUAAGCAGGCACAAGGGCAUGAGGAUGGUUAUAUGUACAGACUGAGGGGAAGAAGCAGUGAAGAUGAGACUUGCCAUCUUCUUGAGUCAGUAGGCCUGCCUCAGGUGCCUAGGAUGUAAUUGCUCUGCUGCUUCUCAUGGGGAGGAGUGGCCCUCAUGACCUUGUUUACCUGGAAGAGUGUGGGAUGAAUGCCUCCUCCUAUGGGGACUCGCAAGUGCUUUAGCAAAAGGAUAAAUUGCUAAUUGUGGCAUUUCGUGGAUCAGCAGGAUUAUUUCUCCUUGCUAAAGAGGAUUUUGUUGGUCCUGAAUUCUGAGGAGGUGGGACUAGGAAUGGGCUCCAUGAGCCUGUGUAUGACUCAGGGAAUAUUAGGACUUUGGCACAGCCUCAUGGGUUGGGAGUAAGUCUUGGCUCUUCCCUAGCCUGAAUGACAGACAUCAGAUCAUUCUGGUGCUUUGUCCAUGAAGAUGUAGAUUCUGAGCCCACCCAACUAAUCUUUUCACUUGAGCACAGAAACAGCCCCGGGAAUCGGACAGACCCGUGUCUUUCAGGUUUGCUUCACAGAGCCCCAGGGGUUGACAAUAGGUGCCUUGGAGACUGCCUGCAUGGGGAUUUUUAAAAAGCUUUCUUUGUUAAAGGUUUGUAAACCACUCCUCUGAGCCUGUUUUCAUUUUAUAGAUUAUUC
rnacentral:lncRNA from 1 species